GCUGGGUGUGGUGGUGCACACCUGUAAUCCCAGCUACUUGGAGGCUGAGGCAGGAGAAUCGCUUGAACCCAGGAGGCAGAGGAGCCUGGGUGACAGAGCAAGACUCUGUCUCAA
ensembl:misc_RNA Metazoa_SRP Metazoan signal recognition particle RNA